rnacentral:rRNA from 1 species
AGUUUGANNAUGGCUCAGGACGAACGCUGGCGGCGUGCUUAACACAUGCAAGUCGAACGAUGAAGCCCUUCGGGGUGGAUUAGUGGCGAACGGGUGAGUAACACGUGGGCAAUCUGCCCUUCACUCUGGGACAAGCCCUGGAAACGGGGUCUAAUACCGGAUAACACCGGCUUCCGCAUGGGGGCUGGUUGAAAGCUCCGGCGGUGAAGGAUGAGCCCGCGGCCUAUCAGCUUGUUGGUGGGGUAAUGGCCUACCAAGGCGACGACGGGUAGCCGGCCUGAGAGGGCGACCGGCCACACUGGGACUGAGACACGGCCCAGACUCCUACGGGAGGCAGCAGUGGGGAAUAUUGCACAAUGGGCGAAAGCCUGAUGCAGCGACGCCGCGUGAGGGAUGACGGCCUUCGGGUUGUAAACCUCUUUCAGCAG